rnacentral:rRNA from 1 species
GACGAACGCUGGCGGCGUGCCUAACACAUGCAAGUUGAGCGACGAACCAGGGCUUGCCCUGGGGCAAAGCAGCGAACGGGUGAGUAACACGUGGGUAACCUGCCCCGAUGAUCGGGACAACCCGAGGAAACUCGGGCUAAUACCGAAUGUGCUCGCCGGACACCAGUCCGGCGCGUAAAGGAAGCUUCGGCCUCCGCAUCGGGAGGGGCCCGCGGCCCAUUAGCUUGUUGGUGAGGUAACGGCUCACCAAGGCAACGAUGGGUAGCUGGUCUGAGAGGACGAUCAGCCACACUGGGACUGAGACACGGCCCAGACUCCUACGGGAGGCAGCAGUGGGGAAUCUUGCGCAAUGCGCGAAAGCGUGACGCAGCAACGCCGCGUGGGGGAAGAAGGCCUUCGGGUUGUAAACCCCUUUCAGGAGGGACGAAGGUUCGGCGGUGAAUAGCCGUCCAGACUGACGGUACCUCCACAAGAAGCCCCGGCUAACUACGUGCCAGCAGCCGCCGUAAUAC